AUUAACAAAUAAAACAAUAGUAAUUUUUCAGCGCUUCUUUGAAGAUUAGCAUGGCCCCUGCGCAAGGAUGACACGCAAAAUCGUGAAGCGUUCCACAUUUUU